ensembl:lncRNA
GAUUUAAUACUAUUACAUUUGUGAUAACAGUAGAGCAACAUUUUGACUAGUAGCUGAAAUGAUAAUAUAACAGUUUUUUUUAUAAUUCCCCUUUUCCCCUCAAAUGCAGUACAUGAUAAUAAAAAAAUAUGAAUUUAUAUUUUAUUGAUUUUAAUUGAACAACAGAAGUUUUUGAUAAUUUUUUGAUAUGCUAGCUAUAUGAUAGGUAUAAAACACAUACAGUCACUAGAUGUUUUGACAGUUAAACCAGUUAAGACAUCAUUUAGUAUGUUUAUUAAGCUGAUUUCUGUUGGCUGGUCCCCACAGUGUGAGUGGAUAAUGUUCCCUUUUGUGGGAACAUUUGCUCCCCACAGUGUGACCCCUCCCCACACACACCAAACACACACACACACACACACACACACACACUCUGAGACUGUUACUUCUCUAUGCAACAUUUGAGAUUUUCCAUAUAAAAUUUCCAGGCUUAUGCCACAGAGCUCCAGGGUAGACUAUUAAUAUAUUUUUCCGGAACCACUGAUUUUGUUUACUUGCAAGACUUCGCUGGAGAGAGAGAGACAGAAGUGGCCUCCAAAUUAGUUUACAUCCUUUUUCUAAUGCGUCAUACUCUCCUCUAGUUUCAGGGUUUUACCGGAUGACAUUUUAUUGGCACCUUAACUACAUUUCUGAUUGUGUUUGGCCACAGGGGCGAGACUUGAAAAAUGUCUCCAUUUUAUGCAAUUACAUCAAUCUACAAAAGCUCGAGCUUCCCUACAAUAAAAUCAAAGAUCUAUCCUGCGUGAGUCACAUGCCACACCUCAUCAUACUGGAUGCUUUCCAUAACCAACUCACCGCCAAAAAAUCUCAACGUGAUUCAGUUUACUACAGACGGGAUAAUGUGAUGUCAUGUGAGGUUCAGCUCUCUUAUGCAAGAGUGAAUGAAGAGUAACUUCACUGGGUCUCAGAGAUGUUUAACUGUUAAAGUUAGAUGUGUUUUACCUUUUUUACUUAAAAGAAAGAAGUUUAAAAUUUUCUUCUUGUAAUUUUUAGGUUUGGGGAUUUUUAUCGAUGUUUGUUUUUUAUAUACUGUCCUUUUUUUUUUUUUUAUGCAGGAGGUCAAUUUCUCACACAGCCAGAUGUCAGUACCAACAGGUUUGUUGAGACACAGACAAACAGAAGUGUUAAUUAACCAUACUGUUUCACUUAAGUUGAUGCUUGGGUUGUUGUGGUUCCUCUGAGAUUCUAAAUCAGACUUGAGGGGGUAUUUCAGUUAAAAGUUCCUAAUGGGAACUCAGAAUUUCAGACUUCCGAGUACAAAUGGAACACACCAUUGCAUUUGGGAUUCGAUUAGAGCAAGAUAAGUGGGUGCCACGUACCAAAAUGAAGUUAGUUGGUUGAAAAAUAGGGAUUGGUGACAUCAACCAAAAAGAAAAUUACUAAAAUGUUAAAGAGCAUGCACUGAUAAAUAGCAAUAUCACUAAGGCCAAGCAUGCCUAAAAGUAACUUGGAUGAUUCAUGUUGACAAAACUAUUGAUUUGUUAAAAGCAAGUGUAUGAAACAUUCUUUGACUGUGCCUUGCUGUUCAGAUAAUUCAUUUAGUGCCAUCAGGGGGCUGGAAAAAUGCAAAAGGCUCUCACACCUCAGCCUGGCCCAUAACAACAUCUCCCGCAUUAGGGGUCUGGACCACCUGCCCCUCAGAACGCUCUGCCUGGUACUAUCAGCCCUCUUAAACACACACACACACACACACACACACACACACACACCAUUUAUUACAGCAACACCUAUUUAAAACAGCGAAUUUGUUCCCAAGGAUUAAUAAGUGCAGAGCGGUAUAAAAUAUGAAUGUAUUUCAUGAAAUGAAUAAUGUUUGGGAAAAUGUGUCAUACUCUUCAUGAUGGGGCCUGUUGACAUAUUAUUCUGCUCACCCAUAGUAUCAUCCCAUAACC